rnacentral:rRNA from 1 species
CCGCACGCUGGCGGCGUGCUUAACACCUGCAAGUCGCACGGAAAGGCCCUGCUUUUGUGGGGUGCUCGAGUGGCGAACGGGUGAGUAACACGUGAGUAACCUGCCCUUGACUUUGGGAUAACUUCAGGAAACUGGGGCUAAUACCGGAUAGGAGCUCCUGCUGCAUGGUGGGGGUUGGAAAGUUUCGGCGGUUGGGGAUGGACUCGCGGCUUAUCAGCUUGUUGGUGGGGUAGUGGCUUACCAAGGCUUUGACGGGUAGCCGGCCUGAGAGGGUGACCGGCCACAUUGGGACUGAGAUACGGCCCAGACUCCUACGGGAGGCAGCAGUGGGGAAUAUUGCACAAUGGGCGGAAGCCUGAUGCAGCAACGCCGCGUGCGGGAUGACGGCCUUCGGGUUGUAAACCGCUUUCGCCUGUGACGAAGCGUGAGUGACGGUAAUGGGUAAAGAAGCACCGGCUAACUACGUG